AGCUAGUAGGUGAGGUAAUGGCUCACCUAGGCGACGAUACAUAGCCGACCUGAGAGGGUGAUCGGCCACACUGGGACUGAGACACGGCCCAGACUCCUACGGGAGGCAGCAGUAGGGAAUCUUCGGCAAUGGGGGCAACCCUGACCGAGCAACGCCGCGUGAGUGAAGAAGGUUUUCGGAUCGUAAAGCUCUGUUGUAAGUCAAGAACGGGUGUGAGAGUGGAAAGUUCACACUGUGACGGUAGCUUACCAGAAAGGGACGGCUAACUACGUGCCAGCAGCCGCGGUAAUACGUAGGUCCCGAGCGUUGUCCGGAUUUAUUGGGCGUAAAGCGAGCGCAGGCGGUUUGAUAAGUCUGAAGUUAAAGGCUGUGGCUCAACCAUAGUUCGCUUGGAAAC
rnacentral:rRNA from 1 species